AGUUUGAUCCUGGCUCAGGAUGAACGCUAGCGGCAGGCUUAACACAUGCAAGUCGAGGGGCAGCAUGUCCAGCAAUGGAUGAUGGCGACCGGCGGAAGGGUGCGUAACGCGUGAGCAACAUGCCCUAUACAGGGAGAUACACCAGGAAAACUUGGUCUAAUAUCCCAUAGCAUUCAUUGAAGGCAUCUUUAAUGAAUUAAAGCUUCGGUGGUAUAGGAUUGGCUCGCGUGACAUUAGCCAGAUGGUGAGGUAACGGCUCACCAUAGCAAUGAUGUCUAGGGGUUUUGAGAGGAAGGCCCCCCACACUGGGACUGAGACACGGCCCAGACUCCUACGGGAGGCAGCAGUGAGGAAUAUUGGACAAUGGAUGGAAAUCUGAUCCAGCCAUGCCGCGUGCAGGAAGACGGCCUUAUGGGUUGUAAACUGCUUUUAUACGGGAGCAAUAAGGGUUACGAGUAAUCCGAUGAGAGUACUGUAUGAAUAAGGAUCGGCUAACUCCGUGCCAGCAGCCGCGGUAAUACGGAGGAUCCGAGCGUUAUCCGGAAUUAUUGGGUUUAAAGGGUGCGUAGGCGGCCAUUUAAGUCAGCGGUGAAAUUUUGCAGCUUAACUGUAACAGUGCCGUUGAUACUGUUUGGCUAGGAUUUGGUUGUAGUAUGCGGAAUGUGUGGUGUAGCGGUGAAAUGCUUAGAUAUCACACAGAACACCGAUUGCGAAGGCAGCACACUAAGUCAUUAUUGACGCUGAGGCACGAAAGUGUGGGGAUCAAACAGGAUUAGAUACCCUGGUAGUCCACACUGUAAACGAUGAUAACUCGCUGUCGGCGAUACACAGUCGGGGCCAAGCGAAAGC
rnacentral:rRNA from 1 species